GACGAACGCUGGCGGCGUGCUUAACACAUGCAAGUCGAGCGGUAAGGCCCUUUCGGGGGUACACGAGCGGCGAACGGGUGAGUAACACGUGGGUGACCUGCCCUCAGCUCUGGGAUAAGCCCGGGAAACUGGGUCUAAUACCGGAUAUGACUCCAUGACGCAUGUUGUGGGGUGGAAAGCCUUGUGCGGCUGAGGAUGGGCCCGCGGCCUAUCAGCUUGUUGGUGGGGUGAUGGCCUACCAAGGCGACGACGGGUAGCCGGCCUGAGAGGGCGACCGGCCACACUGGGACUGAGACACGGCCCAGACUCCUACGGGAGGCAGCAGUGGGGAAUCUUGCGCAAUGGGCGAAAGCCUGACGCAGCGACGCCGCGUGAGGGAUGACGGCCUCGGUGUAACGUAC
rnacentral:rRNA from 1 species